AUUGAACGCUGGCGGCAGGCCUAACACACGCUAGUCGAGCGGAGCGGCGGACGGGUGAGUAAUACCUAGGAAUCUGCCUGGUAGUGGGGGAUAACGUUCGGAAACGGACGCUAAUACCGCAUACUAUCAGAUGAGCCUAGGUCGGAUUAGCUAGUUGGUGAGGUAAUGGCUCACCAAGGCUACGAUCCGUACCUGGUCUGAGAGGAUGAUCAGUCACACUUGACCUGAGAAACGGUCCAGAAUCCUACGGGAGGCAGCAGUGGGGCAUAUGGGACAAUGGGCGAAAGCCGGGGCCAACCAUGCCGCGUGUGUGGAGACGGUCCUCGGAUUGUAGAGCACUUUAAGUUGGGGGUCGUUACCGACAGAAUAAGCACCGGCUAACUCUGUGCCAGCAGCCGCGGUAAUAC
rnacentral:rRNA from 1 species